ensembl:lncRNA
GCCUCCCGGUUUUCAUCCAAAAUAUCUUAAAUUUUUUCCGAAGAUGAACGAAGCUUUUACAGACUUGGAAUGACAUUGGGGUAAGUGAUUAAUGAAAAAAAAAAUAAUUUUGGGGUGGAGUAACCCUUUAAGCUUCAACACGCAUGUCUGAAACACAGGAGCAGGACUGGACUGAACUCUGCAGGAAUGGCGCUUCCAGAGAAGGACUGGACACCUCUAUUGCAGGGGUCUUGCAUAGGUGUAACAGUCAUGCUUCAGAUGUUUGCAGGAAAAUGGACAGCUGUAAGAAACUUGCUGCUUGAAGCUCUGACCUUGUUUUGCUUGCCGUCUGCACAGCUUCAGACUCUCAGGUGGCUGUGAGAUACUGCAUGCAGGCUGGGAGUGGGCGCAGAGGCCUGACACUCCCGCCUACACAGGCAUACGGACCAGCGCAGAUCCGCGACCAGUUCUGCAGUUACUGGAACUGACUAAGGCUGGAGGUCUGAGAAAAGCAGCCGCUCUUAGCCCCUGCUAGUAGAUGUCGCAAGUAGACCAUCUGGCUGCAUAUAUCUUUCCAGAGAGAUCAGAUUGGCUACCAGGCAUUUACUUUCGGGGGUCCAAGCUUCACAAUGGAGAUGAAUGGGAAUGCCAAUGGCUAACUUUCUGCAUUAUUAUAGGACGUACUUAGGCUAACAGUGAUGUUUCGGCGGUCUUGUGUUCCACCAAGCAAAGUGUCACAUUCCAGAAGGGUGAGGUUGUUAAAUCAGUUGACUGGGAAAGCGAGGGUGAGGCAUGGGCACAGGGUUCUCUCACAGAGUGAAACCCUGUACACAAACUCUACAGCAUGGUUUCAGUAAAGCCAUGUUUGACUGAUCAUAAUACAUUUGUAUGGUGUAAAGGUUUAAAUCUAUGGCUAGAGAAGUUGAGGCGCACUCAUUUUGAGGAGGCAGUGUUUUUCUAAGGGGAAACAUCCUUUGUAAGGCACAUCAAGAAUUGACUGACAGUUCAAAUAACCUUCCCCCUAAACAUGCCAGAAUCCAAAGACUUCCUGUACAGUUUCCAGCAUAUGACUUCAUGUCACCUAGAAGUGUCUAGUCUUAAACUUACCAAUCAAGAAACACAUUCCUUCUCCGCCCCCAUCACAUUUUC